CUCUCGCAGUCGAAACCCUAGGUCCUCACUCUCUCUUUUCUCCCUCACGCCGUCUCGCAGUCCUCCACAACUCCUGCUCCCUUCCUCUGGCGGCGCAGACAGGUACGGGAUGAGGCCCCAGCGGCGCGCAUCUGCGAUAGCAAGGGCGCCCCCUCCGGUGGCAUGACCUUGCACUCAACUGCGGCUUCCCAACGAGCUCGUAGAGGCACGGCGCAGGCACCGGCGACCCUCGACCGCACGUCGGCUUGGCUCUCCAGUCUUCCCCUCAGUGGUUGCAGGCUCGGCCGGUCGGCGGCAGGCCGCACAUAGCAGCAGCCAGCGCCGCACCCAGGGUGCAGGGGCAGAGCAGAUCCACGCUGCGCCCAGAUGCAGAUGCAGAGCACAUCGACCUCGCUGUUCAUUGACCCACGCGCGGCCGCCGUCACGGCUUGCGGUAGCAGGAAGGUCGCACAAGGCGGAUGGGCUCCAGUGGCCGUAUACGUGCAGCCCGCACAACAAUCUGGGCUCCUUUGUGGCAACGAACUAAGUGGCAGCAGGUCAGAAGAGAGAGUGGUUAAUAAUGUGGUCUGGAGAAUGUCUCAGUGGAGUUAAUGUUUAGGGGUAGCUACAACUCUUUUAGUUAGCUUGAUGAAUAUUCAAGAUGUUGAAAGGGCUAUGUUCUUUGUAAUUUUGGAUUUGUGACUUAGAUGUAGCGUGAUGUAUAUUGCUACCUGGAUGUAUGAGUUUGACUAUAUUUUUUUGCAACCUGGGAUUUUGUCAAGAUUGUGUAAUUGUUGAGUGAGUGGUUAUAUCAAAAUCAAUAAGAUGGUUUAAGGCGCACGGUUUUUGACA